UACGUAGGGGGCAAGCGUUGUCCGGAAUUAUUGGGCGUAAAGAGCGUGUAGGCGGUCCGGUAAGUCAGCUGUGAAAGUCAAGGGCUCAACCCUUGAAAGCCGGUUGAUACUGUCGGGCUAGAGUCCGGAAGAGGCGAGUGGAAUUCCCGGUGUAGCGGUGAAAUGCGCAGAUAUCGGGAGGAACACCAAUGGCGAAGGCAGGUCUCUGGGCCAUAACUGACGCUGAGAAGCGAAAGCAUGGGGAGCGAACAGG
rnacentral:rRNA from 1 species